rnacentral:lncRNA from 1 species
AUGGCAUUUUCUUCAAAUUACAUGUUUUUUUCAAAGUAUAUUUCCACUAAAAAGCGACCAACCAUAAAAAAGCCACCAAAAAUCAACCAACCAACCAAUAUAGACAAUAUUUUUAAGUGUGUAAGGAUCAAUAAGUUUCUAUGUGUGUGCUUAGUCGCUCAGUCAUUUCUGACUCUCUGUGACACCAUGUACUGUAGCCCACCAGGCUCCUCUGUCCAUGGGAAUUUUCCAGGCGAGAAUAUGGAGAGCAGGUUGCCAGUUCCUACUCCAGAGGAUCUUCCUGACUCAGAGGUUGAACCUGAGUCCUCCCUCGUUUUGGUCCUUCCUGAAUUCUUCCAGAGUUUGUGUGAAUGCCACUUUACCAGCAACAGGAAGGGGGUGCCUACUUUUUCAUCUUGCCCACGACAUCCUGCAUCAGAUGUUUCUCUGCCCACCUAUCAGCCUGAAGACACUGGCUUGGCUCCACCUGGUUUCCUAAUGCUGGAUCUCUCUGGAGAUGGGGCCUCAUCUUCAACACGCACCCAAAGCAGCAAGUCUCUCAUAUCCUUCCACUGUAGUGAUCUCUUGUCUGGGCUGAAAGAUGAUCUUUUCUUCUGGGCUGUUCUUUUCCUCUUUCAGCUUAUUUCCAAGCACCAUUCAGGCCCUGGUGAGAGUUUGGAUGCUCUUGUUUGA